ensembl:lncRNA
UCUUUGCCUACCAACAGUUAGCAAUUUGAUUUUUUUUCAAAUUUUCCUUUUUUCCUUGCCUUUUUCUGUUUGUAACUGGAAACUUCGGGCACAUGUUGAAGCAAAAUAUUGCGGCCGGAGCUGGUCAUAACUUGAAAUGGUUGUAAGCCGGGGCAUUCGUAAGUUGAGGCACCACUGUACACUGUGCCUAGAGAUGACAGAUGUCCACAGGGAUGUUGUUUGAACAGCAUUAAGGCUUUAUGCACUCAAUGCUUGCUUGUUUGUUUGUUUUUGCUUAUAGUGCCUCGUUACAGACAAAUCCACCAAAUCAUAGACCCUAUUAAGACCCAAUGCCUAUGCUGCCUGUGACUUAGAGGUAGUUUAGCAACUUCCUUUGCUAUGCAAUAAAAGGAGUGCAUUAAAAAAAACGUUCAAAGCAAGAGUAGAAUUAAAACUCUCUGAUUUACUUGAACAGGAAUGUGAUUCAAUCAGUGCUUCAGAAAUUAUGUUUCUUUAGUACCUCUUUGUAUGUUUAUUAUCUUGAGGAAAAGGGGCAUUUGACUGUUUCUCUCUGUUUACAAGAAAAGCUCCACCUUUCAAAUAAACAGCCAUUAGCAAAACAAUAGGGGCUUUUAAUCUUAUUAAUCCUCUGAAAGAUUGCAUUGAUUGUGUUGUAUGAAUAAAGCCAGGGACGCCUUGAGCCUAUGUUUUAUUGUACCGGGAAAUAAAGCAGAUGACUCGCUUUCAAAUCCCAUGUGCAACCGGAGCAUACGAAUGUAUUUGCUGUAGGAAGUGCAAAAACAUUACUGCUUGGAGUUGCUGUUCUCCAACUAGUGCUGGACGGCUGGAUUCACAUCUGCUUCAUGAGCCGAACUCACCCUUCCAUGGACUACAUCUUCCCUUCCCAGGAUCCUUCAUAGGAGACAAGUAACUCUGGCAGACAAAGAAUUGUCCAGCUUCAGCACUUGAGGAUCAUUUGGAAAGCGUCUUUGAAGUUUAUUGGUGCAGUCCUGUGUCUGUGUGUUUCAAAACAUAAACUUGAGAUCCUUAUUAUGGACAAAAAGACAAAAAGGAAUGCUUCAUUUAAGGUAAAUAAUUCAUCCGUCACUUUCAUAUACGACAAUUAAGGAUGAUAGAAUGUGUUGAAACAGGCUUACAGUGUUGUAGGUUUUGUAGCAUUCACUCAUCAUAUCUCUGUAUUGGAAUGCAAAAUCAGGUUUUUAAGAUAGCUGUUAUUGGGGAAGGAAUAGACAAGAGAUAAUAUCUGAAAAUUGUUUAUCCAGCAUGUUUCUGAAUGAUAACCAGCCUAUGAGAGACAGCCUGUUUUUUCUCCCUCAAAAUAUGUGGUUUCAAUCAGUCUGGUGUGGGAGGCAGCCUGUUUCCUCUCUCCCAAAAUAUGUUUUCAGUUAAUCUGGAUCUGCUGUUGGUGACUGACUGCAUCAUGGGGAGGGGCUAUACAGUAAAGCUAAAUGAAGAGGGGGAAAUGAUCUUACAACAAGUCCAAGUAGCUUAAUGGCACUGUUGCUCUAUGGAUUCUGAUUUCUGUAUCAAUGCUUGUAGUGCUACAUUUUUAUGCAUUUAGAUGUCAGGUAAGUCUCAGAAUCCCUUGUCAAAAUGGCUUUCAUGGACCAAGAUUACAUAAAAAAAAUGGUGAU